GCAAGCUGGUAGGGGAGCCGUGAAUCUGGAGGAUGACCAUCACUCUACCAACAAGGAUUACGUUGGGGCCAGACUUGCGCUGUUUGUUCCAGACCAGGACUCUGGCUGAGGAGAGCUGAUGGAGGAGCCAAGACUCUGGAGGACGACAUCACUCUACCAACAAAGAUCCUCGAAUCUGGAGGACUGACGGAGAAGCCGUACAUCCGGAAGGCAAAUCAUGAGGACAACCAGGACUCUCCAUCAAGGAUUCCUCACACACCUGAGCUGAACCUCACCUGAUCCUGUUUGGUCG